UUUUAUUUGAGAGUUUGAUCCUGGCUCAGGAUGAACGCUGGCGGCGUGCCUAACACAUGCAAGUUGAGCGAUUUACUUCGGUAAAGAGCGGCGGACGGGUGAGUAACGCGUGGGUAACCUACCCUGUACACACGGAUAACAUACCGAAAGGUAUGCUAAUACGGGAUAAUAUAUUUGAGAGGCAUCUCUUAAAUAUCAAAGGUGAGCCAGUACAGGAUGGACCCGCGUCUGAUUAGCUAGUUGGUAAGGUAACGGCUUACCAAGGCGACGAUCAGUAGCCGACCUGAGAGGGUGAUCGGC
rnacentral:rRNA from 1 species